rnacentral:lncRNA from 1 species
UACGACUCUUUCUCUUUCCUCUUCCUUCUCCUUCCUCUUCCUCCCCUCAUCUCUCUGCUACAGAUCUAACCGAAAACCUAACCAGAAAUAAUCACCAAAAACCAAAACGCAGUGGUUUUGUGCUAUGACCCGAAAAAGCGGCACUUUGACCAGCUAUUGGUCCGCCCCGCUCCAUCGGAUAGCGGCCGCAAAGCCCACUAUUGACCCGCUUUUCCCUAACACGCGACUCGAUAGCGCUCCAACGCGGUAGUCUGUUUUUUGCCGCUCCGCGCCGCGAUAGCGGCCGCUAUUAACAACAGAGUGUAAUAGUCUACCAAAUACUAGUAUUGCCAAUUCAGUUUACAUGAAACGAAACUUUCCUUCUUCAAAAACAAAGUUCUUAAAACAGUACUAGUUGAGGAUGAAUUGAGGGAAAAUAUUCUAAGAGGUUUAGAUACUAGUUGUGGAUGAGAUAAAAAAUGUUAUCACUUUAGUUUUUUUUAUUCUUGAAUUAUCAAUUGGAAAAGUGAUAUUACUGUAUAAAACAUCAAUACAAUGAAAAUUCUAUAUCACUCUAUUUCUAUUUUUCUAUUCCAUUCUUUAUAGAACAUCCAAACAUAACUGAAAAUUAUUGCAGAUGAUGCAAAUAGUAGCAAU